CCACCGCCGCUGCUCGCUCGCGCCAGAAGCCUCGACGACGCCGAUUUUGCUGUCUCCGCUUGCGACCCACCGCCGCUGCUCGCGCCAGAAGCCCCGACGACGCCGAUUCUUUCUCUAUCAGAAGUCCCAAGUUUGUCUCCGACUUGCAGUCAUAACUAAUUUCACAUGAAGUCGAACAUCAUAUCUUUUUCUUUUAUUGUUUUCAUAGCUCGGGAAGUAUACUUAUGACGUGAUUUUGAUGUUAGAGGAUCAUUCAUGAAACUCUGUUUUGCUAAAACUCUUGCCAAUGGGGAAGCAGGAAAUGGUGGGUGAACAACUCGUAACCUCAUGGAAAUACAGAUUAGUUUUGGAGUGAAUAUUCACGAUGUUGAAAGUGGCUGGCUAGUGUAGAUUUGAAGCUGAAGAAAUCUGAAGGACCAAAUUGAUGUUUUGCUGAAGUAAAUUAGAACAUUCUGGUGCUGUGUUUCGAAUCUUUUAUUCAAACAUAUUUCAACUUUACUCCAGUACUUUGAUCUGCUGUCGAAUGGCGCUCCUGCAUAACAUGGUAAAUAUCUAUAUUAUUAUAUGCACACUCUAUUUAUGAUCUACAUCCUUCGCAACCACUAAACUCCCGCUGAUCUUGCAGAGACAGAACACAUUUUCACUGCUAGAGAGAGCGAUUACAGGAUCUUUCUCUAUAUGUUAGGAAGAAUGCUGUUCUUGUGCUCUCCCAUCUCAUAUUGAAUGAUAUGAUGAAGGUGAUUAACCAUCUUAGACCUGAAUACUUAGAAGAUGAAAUGGACACCUUCCAGGGUGUGGAUGAUUGGGAUGGUAUAACUUCUUAUUAAAGAGGAAUAUCUUCAGAAUUCUGAUUAUGGCAUGAUGUUUCUACCAUUGCUGUUUAUAUAUGCUUGUAGGAUGUGGAGCAAGGGACUUUAUGAAAACUUACUCAUAAAAUGGAAAUUGUCCGAAAACUGUGCUAGAACUUAUUCAUCCUGUAAUUUGAUGUGCUAUUCAAUUGGCCCUUGCAGUUCCCUGUGGAGAAUUACGUGGAGAAUCUCCUAAUUGAAGCCAUGAGGUAUGCGGUUCUUUUGAGAUGUUUGAUUCACCAAUGGAACUGGAGGAAAGGCUGAAGCUUCAGCAAGAGUCAUUAGAUCAUGGACCUACUAUUAUUUACGUCCCUACGAGGAAAGAAACUUUGACAAUUGCCAAAUUCUUGUGUGACUUCGGCAUCAAAGCAGCAGCUUAUAAUGCCAAGGUUUCAUUCUGCAUAAUAAAUACCAUUUUUAAUUGAUGUAUUCUCAAUUUGAUGGUUUCA